UCUCUCUGAGAGAGUAAUGUUCGUUUUGGUAAUGUCGUUUCUUCUCGAGAAACCUUUGACCUUUUAACGGCGUACUCUCCGGCCGCGCGUCGAUUAUUCGAUCUAGCCUUGAACGGAAUUAUUGAUAAAUCAGUUACGAUCUUUCUUCUUAUUCCUCCAAUUUAAAAACUUCUGUUGUCAUCGAAAAACUAAUAUAUUUACAAUGUAACGAAAUGAGCGAUCAAAAUAGUUUAUUAAUUUAUUAUAAAUGUAUCUUUUCUAAACGCAAGUUGUUACAGUGUCUUUGUACGUAUAAUAUUGAAUGUCGCGAACAAACGUAAUAUUUCGGAAAGUACGAAAAGAUUCAAACAGUUGUAAAAGCGGGGAACGAAUGGUGGAACGGAAUCAAUCUUUUUUCUUAAAUCAAAUUUUCAAAAUCACAAGAUUAUGGCCAUUAUUUAACAAUAAAUUUCAUCGUUUCUUUUACAUUAUAUUCGUUAUUUUGUUACAUCUUCUAGUUAUUUUGUUUAUAAAAAUAUUAUAGUAGAGUUAUCAAAAAUUUUCAAUUGAACAAUUUACUUAAUGUUAUAGAUUAUAUAUUUUGUAUUUUGUAUUAUGAACAAUUUUAUCCUGACAAUUUGCCAUAUACCUACAUGUAAUUACUUAUAUACUCGUAUGUCUCUUUUUUGAAAAACAGUUACAAAAACAGUGUUUUCUUGAUUAAUAUUUUUAGACGAUGUUUAAAAUUUCCAACGUUUAUUCAAUUUUGAACAUAAAAAAAAAACAUCGGAAUAAUCGUCAUAAGAUUAAUUGUGUACAAAUUCAUGAAACACGUGAAAUCAUUAUGAAUCGCAAUCGCCUUACAGGUGAGUCGUCGUGAGUGGUAGUGCAACGCUCGCCCACGCUCGCCCCGCUCUUAUCAGCGGCGAUGAGGCCAAGUAGUCGCGUCCGCGUCGCGUCCCUCGUCAGAGUUCACCGGCCGAUCGUGAUUGUUGUACCUGCGGAAAAUGUUAUGGCUAUCGAUCGAUCGCAGUACACUUCGAUACAACUAAUAACGGUCGGCUGCAUCGAAUCGCAGCGAAGCGAUGCGUAAUAUACUCGAGAUUGCGUACUCGAGCAACUGCCUUUGCAUCCUUGAUCAAUUUCAUCGAAGCGUUGUCUCAAGCGAUGUCCACAAAGAGAGCAACUCCAUGACAGUGUCUAUUAUUACCAUACUGUCGAUGGAUAGCUCUCUUCAUAGCGAGCGCUUCACCCUUAAAUUGGAUUUGGAUUUUCCUUCCAUCCUCUGUAAUGGUCCAAAUACUCGAUUGACAAAACAGAAAAAUAACUAGACUACGCACACUACGCCUUAUUACACUGCCCAUAUCUUAAUUACCCACAAUCUUUAAUUUUAUCUUCAAUUUUAAAAAGUUUUAUUCACAAUGUUCACAAAAAAAAAAAAA